UCCCUGGUGGCUCAGACGGUAAAGAAUCUGCCUGCAAAGCAGGACACCCCAGUUCAACCCCUGGGCCGGGAA
rnacentral:tRNA from 1 species